rnacentral:piRNA from 1 species
UGAUGACAAGGCUUGGCUCUCAACCUCC